ensembl:lncRNA
GAUAUCAUUAAGAUGGUAAAUAAGGAGGAGUUGUUCACAGGAAGAACAGAUUAUGAUGUCUCCAAAAUGGUUCCCACGUCACAGGCAGAGAUAACACAGGAAGAUUAAUAGCAAUUUAUUUUUGGUUUUCCUUUCUUUGAAUACUUGUACAGGCCAGGGUAGCAUUCAGCUCUGCAUGCUAUGUGCUUGCCAUUUUACUUAAUUUCCAGGCACCUUUUCAGAUGGAAGCUUUUCAGUGCUUUCUCCAUGCUCUGGUAAGCAGCAGGUCGCGGUGAAAUGCCAGGAAGCAUACACCUCUGCCAGUGUUGUCUAAGGAAUAAAGCAGUCUCAAUUGAGGAAGAAGCAGGAGGAGCUUUGAGACAAGAUCCAGGGCCUAUCCUCAUCUCUGUCACACUUAUAAAUCUGGAGAAAUUCCACUUGUUCCUUGAGGACACACAAGGAUUUUACAGCAGUGUUGAAAAUUGGAAUCUGGCACAUCGUAUUAACAUAAAAUGCAAGGGAAAAAUACCCGGCAACAAGCAAAGGGCAAUACAGAAAAUAGGUUUGUUACAAGCAAAUUGGAUAUGUUUGUUUUCUUCUUUUUUUUCCUCUACAUUAAUGCCAUCCAGGCCUCUCCCAUAUAUUCUCGAGGAAAUGGCUUCGUUAUAUUGGAGAAAUAUAUUGAAAAUGAAAUCAGUGGUAGCACCAAAUGUGCCCAGACAUGACAAGACUUUUAAGUAACAACAGAAGAAUUCUAUCUCCUUUCCUGUUUGUUCCAUGUUAACUUAUGGAGAUUGGUGCUGACUUUCCGGAAUGGCUGCAGCAAGCUGUAAAUGAUGUAUGAAAAUGAAAUGAAAAUUCUCUGCCCAAGCCACUGUGCACAGCAAUCACUGCUGAGCCACAUUAAUAACUAUUUGCUCCUGUAUGCUCUGAGAUGGGAUAGAGCCACAGAAGCCAGCAGCAAAGACACUGGAACAACCAUCCACAGGUAUCCUGGACCGAACUCCCGCUGAUUCUUCACUCCAUCUUCAGCAGUGGAGUCCCUUCAGAGAGGUGAAAAGGAGGAGACACAAAUGUUUUCAGCCCAGAAAAGCCCAAGGGAUUCCCUCACAGCAUCACAGAAUAUCCUGAGAUGGAAGAGACCUACAAGGAUCAUCAAGUCCAACUCCUGGCUCCACAUAAGACCACCCCAAAAUCAGACCCUACGUCUGAGAGCUUUGUCCAGACAUUUCUUGAACUCUGGCAAGAUUGGUGCCAUGACUUCUGCCCUGGGGAGCCUGUUCCAGUGCCUGACCAUCUAAAGUAAGAAGUUAGGUAGCAGUGACACCUACUCAGGACCUCCUUUUCCAACCUCCAUUUCCUGUCUUUGUUUACUUACCUCUUCCCCAUUUUUAUCCAACUGUAUCUCUGUUGCAACAUCACCACCCCUGGGCAUUAGGGCUGUGCAGGUG